CAAUAGCGUAUAUUAAAGUUGUUGCAGUUAAAAAGCUCGUAGUUGGAUUUCUGGCAGGAGCGACCGGUCAUGCACUAUGUGCGUGAACUUGUGUUGUCUCUGGCCAUCCUUGGGGAGAUCCUGUUUGGCAUUAAGUUGUCGGGCAGGGGAUACCCAUCGUUUACUGUGAAAAAUUAGAGUGUUCAAGGCAGGCAAUCGCCAUGAAUACACAAGCAUGGAAUAAUGGAAUAGGACUCUCAGUCAUUUUAUUGGUUAUUGACUGGUAGUAAUGAUUAAUAGGGACAGUUGGGGGCAUUCGUAUUUAAUUGUCAGAGGUGAAAUUCUUGGAUUUAUUAAAGACGAACUUAUGCGAAAGCAUUUGCCAAGGAUGUUUUCAUUAAUCAAGAACGAAAGUUAGGGGAUCAAAGACGAUCAGAUACCAU
rnacentral:rRNA from 1 species